AUCAGGGCAGAGACUAGGACCAGGCAAGCCAGGAAGGCAGGUAGUGCAAUACAGGGUUUAAUUAUGUCUUUCCUUGAAAUUUAGAUGGUUGUCCAUCGUGGAGUUUUAGCAUUAAUUCGAUUUUUAAAAUAUUGCAUGAAAAUAUCCCGAUUGCGCUUUUAGGCCCCCUUCAUGCACGCUGGGGCAGCGCCUGUUAUUCAGUGAGCUGAAACAGGUAAAGUUCUUAGAAGAGGUCUGGUGCUGGAUAAACAGCAGGUGAGUAGGACACAUUACUGCUCAGCGCUGCCUGACAACCUUCCUGGAGCGCGAGUGACUAAUGUUUCUACCUGGCCAGGCACCUAGGCAUGCUUGUAAUUCCAGCACUUUGAGAGGCCAAGGUGGGAGGACCACUUGAGCCAAGGAGUUCAAGUCAGUGAAUCGUGAUCUCACCACUGCAUUCCAGCCUGUGCGACAGAGCUACACGCUGACUCUAGAAGUGGUAUCUUGGUAAGAAAAGGUGGGGAGGAUUAACAAUGGUAAGAACUCUUGCUGUGUGCCAGGCCUUGCGCCAGGGAUUCAAUAUAUGUUCUUUCAUUCCCAUAGCAGCUCUGCACAGACAAUGAUUAUUAUCUCUUCCUACAAGGAGGAAAUGGGAGAUCAAAGGGGAAAGGUUAGUGGUGGGUCCCGGUGCAUGAGUCCUGGGCUGCUCCACAGGGGUUUGAGGUCUGCUGUGCAUGGUGUAGGGGUUGUUUCUUGCAGAUGGGGUGUCCCUGAGCAGACUUUCCCAGGGCCUGACUCCAUCCCGUCUGGACCACUCUGGAAGGCACAUGACCAAGGAACACAUGGCCGGGUCCGUGGGUUUCCAAGCUAGUUUGAGUUCCAGUCUGGCUACUUCCCAGGAGCAAGUCCAUGGGCAAAUUAGCCUCUCUUGAGCCUCAAAUUUCCU
rnacentral:lncRNA from 1 species